GGGAGGAGGAGGGGAGAAGACACUGCAGUCACCCAGGGAGUCGCACGCCCGAGUUAAGCCACAAGAGUAUUUGGAAAGAAACGCCGAGCAGGAUCCUAGCCGUGAUAACAACGGCAAUAAUAAUUUUAAAAAAGCAGGCACAGCUGGAGAGACACUGCAGACAGGCUCAGGGGAAGAUAAUUCCAACCACGGGGACCAGACUGGUGCCUGCCUGCCUCUUGCCUCCCAGCUGUAGGGCUGCUGCUAACUGCAUUUCAUUGCUGCUAUCGCUGCUGCUUCUAUGCACUGUUGCUGUCACACAAGUAUGUAUGUAUGUGCUCUGAAAGCAGCUGAGUCCAAGGGGAUGGCUCGCAUGGCUGUAAUUUUUUGUUGCUGUCUGGGGUGGGGGGGGGGGGAGAUCUUGCCGUUUCGCAGCGCCUUCGCUCCUCCUCUGGAGUGCUGGGUCAACCCAAGGAGGCUUGACAUCAGCAGCGUACAUAGUAAUCAGAACCUGCAUGAAACGGCAAGGGAGGGGAGAGAGAGAGAGAGAGAGAGAGAGAGAGAGAGAGGAAGCCAGCCCAGCUACGGCACACAGCACAGCUUUGCAAGGGAGAUUCAGGGAGGAGGUGGAGGGAAAGGUGGAGUUAUAAUAAUAAUAAUAAUAAUAGUAGAAUGUGGCAUUCUGCCACUCAACAGCUAUUGAGCCAUUUGGAAUCUCUCUAAACUGUUACAAUAUGGGUGAAUUUGGAAAGGAAAAGAAAAGAAAGGCAGGAAUGCCCAGUCUGCUGCUUGCUAUAUACUGACGCUUAAGUGGAGUUCUGCGAUUCUUUCCUCUGUUCAUUUUUUAAGCCGAAACAGCCUGCAGUAGACUAUAUAUCUGGGCAGCUUAACCCCUUCUCCUCCUGUCCCCACCCCUCUUCCCAUCUCAAAAUUGCUCUCUCCACUUGCUGAUGUUUUCCCUUUACCUGGGGAGCCAGGGAGAAAUAUGGGGGACUCAUCUCUUUCCUGCUACAGGUUUUUUUGUGUGCUUUUUAAAAAUCAACUUGGAGAGAGCAACUUUGAGUUGAAAAACGAUCAGAGGGGAAAGGGUUAAACAACCUCCUGCUGCCCAGCCACUUAGACACAACUUGGCCCAGGCUAUUUUGGGUUGAAAAGGAAAACACACUGGGGGGGGGGAUCACGGCACUCCAUAUAACGUGUGGUUUAUUUAAGAGAAAUUAUUAUUUCUUGCUGCUCUGUCCUAAGGGACUGAGGCCAGUUAUAAUUCACUCUUGGUUUAUUCAAAAUUUGCAAUAUGUAAUAUGGGGAAAAAUGCUGGAGUAUGCAUAGUUUGAUUUAGGGCACAAUUUAGCAGCGAUGGUGCAAGCCCUAUUGAAAUGCAUGGGAACUGUUGGGCAACAGGGUGGAUUUUUUCUCCUCUGUCAACUGACAUCCACAGCUUGAUUCUUUAUUAUUAUUAUUAUUAUUAUUAUUAUUAUUAGCUUAAUGCCCUUCACCCGAAGAUCACAGGGAGGUUCACAACAUAAAAAUACAAAAUGGGAACACAAAAUACGUAAUAAAAUUUAAUCAAAGAUAAACAAAUAACUCCACUCACACAAACGCAUUUAAAAGGCCAUAGAUUGUUUAAUCUGCCAAAGCUCUGGUUAUAGAGAAAUGUUUUCACCUGGCACCUAAAGAGAUGUGAUGAAGGCGCCAGGCAAGCCUCCAUGGCAGAGUAUUCCACAAGCCACUGCAGAAAAGGCCCUUUCUUGUGUUGCCACCUUCUGGACCUCACGUAGAGGAGGCACAUGUAGAAGGGUCUCAGAUGAUGAAUGCAGAGUCUGGAAUGGGGAGAGGUAGUCCUUGAGGUACUGUGGUCCUGAGCUGAGUAAGGCUUUAUAUGUCAAAACCAGCACUUCGAAUUGGGCCCAGAAACUAACCGGUAGCCAGUGCAGUCAGACCAGGAUAAGUGUUAUAUGCUCAAACCAUCUUGCCUCAGUGAGCAACCUGGCCACUGAAUUCUGCACCAGCUGAAGUUUCCGAACUGUCUUCAUUGCUAUCAUUUCUAGAACGUGUUGUAAGUCUUCAUAGAAUUGGUCAAUUUCAGUUUCUUCAGCACCAGUAGUUGGUACAUAAACUUGGAUUACUGUGAUGUUAAAAGGUCUGCCUUGGAUUCGUAUCAAGAUCAUUCUAUCAUUUUUGAGAUUGCAUCCCAGUACAGCUCUCGCCACUCUUUUGUUGACUAUGAGGGCCACUCUCAUAAAAUAGAAUUCUACGGGAUUCUUGUGCACGGUAGUAGAUGUGAUGGUCAGCCAAACUGAAUUCACCAAUUCCUGUCCAUUUUAGUUCACUGAUGCCCAGGAUGUCAAUAUUUAUUCUUGCCAUCUCAUUUUUGACCACAUCCAGCUUACCAAGGUUCAUGGUUCUUACAUUCCAGGUUCCUAUGCAUUUUUUUUUUUUAACGGCAUUGGACUUUCCUUUUGCUUCCAGGCAUAUCUGCAACUGAGCAACCUUUUGGCUUUGGCCCAGCUGCUUCAUCAGCUCUGAAUCUACUUGUACUUGUCCUCUGCUCUUCCUCAGUAGCAUAUUGGAUGCCUUCUGACCUGAGGGGCUCAUCUUCCAGCAUUAUAACUUUUAUAUGCCUGUUGUCUUUGUCCAUGGAGUUUUCUUGGCAGGGAUACUGGAGUGGCUUGCCGGUUCCUGCUCCAGGUGGAUCAUGUUUGGUCAAAACUCUCCGCUAUGACCUGUCCAUCUUGGGUGGCCCUGCACGGCAUAGCUCAUAGCUUCUCUGAGUUAUUCAAGCCCCUUCGCCACGGCAAGGCAGUGAUCCAUGAAGGAGAAAUUAUAGGGUAGUUUGUUAUAAAUGUUUAAAUGAGUAAGAAAUCAAUAAAUAUUCUUAGAAGAUAGCUCAAAGGCCAAACCAUUCAGGCAACCUAUUUUCUGGCAACCUGGGUAUGUCAGCAUACUGUGGACUCAUUGGCUCACCAAGAUAGUCAAGUUACCAAGUAGUUAUGUCACAACAUAGUAGUUAACCACUUUGAAGUGGUGAUCUCUCUUAGUCACCCAUAGCACUUAGGGAUGCCAGAUAAGCAAAGACAAGUUCUCCUGUAGAGCAAGUGACUGGAAAGAAGGUGGAAACAUGGCCUCAACGCUUUGCCUGGCUUUGCAAUUUGUGUCUGGAGGAACAUAAUCCUUCUGCUCCCUUUAAUUUUAUUUUAAAGCGCCUACUUAUAGUUGCCCAGAAAUCCUUCAAUUGAAAUCUUAUGGUUUUGUUUUUACAAAAUUGACCAGCUAGAGGAACAGGCAGAUUGACUCCACCCUUCCUUGACACUUGGCACAUGGCUGGCUACACCCUUAAUGGGGAAUGAUGGCAUUAAACACGGAAUAUAUCAGCAAGAACAAGAAUUUGACACAUCUUGUUGAAAAUAGGCCCUUGAUCAAAGAAUCUGGAAGGCAUAGGGUGGAGAUUCAGGGUGGUUAUGGCCAUUCUUCAAGAGUGCCAACCUAGUUUAAGAAAUAACACAUGGUUUUAAAUAUAUUUACAUUCUGUUGAAUUUGGCUUGAUUUAAAUAGGACAAAAUGUAGAAAGUACUUGGGGGCACAGACCAAAGAUCAUAGAAUCACAGAAUGGCAGAGUUGGAAUGGACCAGAAGGGUCAUCUAUACCAACCUCCUCACCCAAUCUGGGGCUCGAACCCACAAUCCUGAGAUUAACAGUAUCAUGCUCUACCAACUGAACUAUCCCAGGCAAAGGACCCCUGGAUGGUUAAGUCCAGUCAAAGGGGACUAGGGGUUGCAGUGCUCAUCUCGUUUUCAGGCCAAGGAAGCCGGUGUUUUUCCACAGAUAGCUUUCCAGGUCAUGUGGCUAGCAUGACUAAAUUGCUUCUGGUGCAAUGGAACACCGUGACGGAAACCAGAGCGCAUGGAAACACAGUUUACCUUCCCGCCGCAGCGGUACCUAUUUAUCUACUUGCACUGGUGUGCUUUCGAAUUGCUAGGUUGGCAGGAGCUGGGUUAGAGCAAUGGGAGCUCACUCUGUCAUGGCGAUUCAAACGGCCAACAUUCUAUAGGCAAGCCCAAGAGGCUCAGUGGUUUAGACCACAGUGCCACCUGCAUCCCUAUUGUCCCAGGUACCCCAGUACAAGGCCCGUAAUCUUGUGCCUUGUAAAAUGCCAGAGACAAUACUGAAGGUGAAUAAUAAUAAUAAUAAUAUUGUCCCCAUUUUCAUCUGAUGAAUCUUGGAAAGUAAGUUAUAAAGAAGUACAAAAUAUUAAAUUCUACACAGCUUAGCUGGCUUUAUUCUUUGUUAAGGCGCAGCCUGCUCUAGGAAAUCAGUUGCACAAUAGAUUCUCCCAACAGAAGCAAAUGUGACCACACAGAAUACUAGACUCUUCUAUUUCCGAGCUGGAGCCCAAGUGGCAGAAAGCCAGUUCAGACAAACGACGAGAUUAGAAACACACUGGAAUGGCUACAGUUUUAUUCACCCUUCAGCAUCCAACAAGGAACCUGAUCGGGAAAGCAAGAGGGACAGGCAAAAGAAAGAACAACUGGUGCCAAAUUCAUACCACAGACCUGGUGCUGAGCUCCCUAACAAUGAUCGGAAUCCUUGCCACAUUUUCUGAUGCAUAAAAGGGCUAGAGAUUUAGGGCUAAACUAGAUGCAUUGGUGGCAGAACGUGUGUAAAUGUUUGGUUGUUAACCAAAUUAAUAUAAACUGGAGGUUGUGGGUGAUUUAAGGAAUGGAACUAAGGGUGGGGGACAGGGAAGUAGGAAGGGGGGCGGUGGGGGUGGCUCACCCCGGGUGUCAUCUCUGAGGGGGGUGACAAAAUCCCCCCUGGGCGGAUCGCCAUGCUGCCCCCCUGGGCGCAGAUUACCAUGCCAAUUGCUCCCAUGGACAGAUUGCUGCACUGAUCACCCCCUGGGUGCCAAUCGUCCCCCCGGGCAGCUUGCCCUGCCCCCCAGGUGCAGGGAAUGUGUGCCACUCCUGGUGUCUGAGUGGCUAGCUCUGCUGCUGGUGGGGAAGCUGAAUCUUCUUCAUGAUACAGCUUCAUCUCAAACCCUACACUGUUUGUUUUUCUUCUACUGAGCAUUUGAGUCUUGGGGCCCCACUGGUCAGUUUUGUAAAAAUUAAACCAUAAGGAAAGGUAAAUUGAGAGACUGGGGAUAUAUCACUCCAUACAUCACCAGCUGUUACCAUGCUCUGCUUCCUACUACACCAAAUGCACCCUUUGAGCAGUCGGACUCCGCCUCUUCAGGGUCUGAACCUCAGGAGGACUGGAAACUUAACAUCCAAGCAUGAGCUCCUCCAUGUGGUUUUGCUGGAUUUGUAGACCAUCUUUAGAAAGAAAGAAAACUUCACCAGGGGCAUGGAAGGGGAGAACCCAAAGUACAACCAAAUGGGGACUGAGCAUCAUCAUCAAUUUAUUUGCCGCCUUUUCACAUUUUAAACAAUGCUCAAGGCGGCUUACAAUAUGAAAAGACUGACAUAAAUAUAACCAUAGCAAAGUAGUCAUAAAAAUAAAUAAAACACAUCAAAAACUGCAUAACCAAACUGAUCAAUUUCCACAUAACAAUAAAAGUACAAAUAAUUAAUAUCAAUAACAGCAGCAGAAACUCCCCACAAAACUUUCCCCAAAAUACUGGGCCAGGUGGAGAGAGGUGAGGAGCAGGACCCUCAGGCUCUCAGCAGGGCAGUCCUUACUCAGUGGGCACAGAAUGCUAAUGGUCUAUUGGGGAUGAUAAACCGGGGUUGGGAGUAAGAAAAAGAAUACCUUGAAAAAAUACAUGUCUGUCUGGAAUCCUGAAAAGGAGCACUAUGCACUGCAAGAUUUUGUUGCAUGCACCACUUUGUGUGUGUGUGUGUGUGUGUGUGUGUGUGUGUACAGUGGUACCUCGGGUUACAUACGCUUCAGGUUACAGAUGCUUCAGGUUACAGACUCCACUAACCCAGAAAUAGUGCUUCAGGUUAAGAACUUUGCUUCAGGAUGAGAACAGAAAUCGUGCUCCGGCAGCGCGGUGGCAGCAGGAGGCCCCAUUAGCUAAAGUGGUGCUUCAGGUUAAGAACAGUUUCAGGUUAAGAACGGACCUCUGGAACGAAUUAAGUACUUAACCUGAGGUACCACUGUGUGUGUGUGUGUGUGUGUGUGUGUGUGUGUGUAUGGCACAGCACCUUUUGGGGGAAGGUGAAGAUGCCAGUGGAGUUUAAUUCUUAUUUCCUCAGAGAAGGAUGCAGUCCAACAAAGACUAGCGCUUCAGAUUUCCCACGCCUUGUUGGCAAUACUAUCUGUCAGGGUCCCGUCUCCCGUCUCAAAAAUUGCCACCUGCCUUUCCAUGUGAAGUUCCCCAGUGGUUCCCAUUUGUGGGUUUUCAGCAAACGUGUACCAUGCAGGUACGACAUAUGUCACCAUCCUGUGAUCCAGUUAUUGUUACUAUUCAAAAAGGCAGAAAGAGCCCGGCCAGCCAGCCUCGUAGCAUUGCAAGACUGCAAUAUUCCCAAAAUAUUAUAAUGGGCUUUUAAUGGGGGGAAAGUAUCCCCCAAGGCCCUUUAGUCAGAACAGCUGAGUGAUAAGCACUGCCACAUUCCGUCUGAUCUUUCCCCAAGAAAACAUUAGCUACUAAAAUGAGAGCAAGGAUAAGCGAAAGUGGCUAAGAAGCAAAUCACCCAUCUACAUGCAGUAGCAGUUCCCUAAAAUUUAAUGUUAUUAAUGAUGUGUUAUUUUAUGGGCAGCCAGUGUCCUCUACAAGCAUGGUGGUGCUACAAGUUCUAUAUCAACUUUAAACAUCUAAUAAAGCCCACUCAGGGGGAGCUUAAGGCUAGCAGAAGCAAGUAGUCACACUAAUGUGUGUGUGUGUUCUUUGAAUGCCUCUCCAUGGACAAGCACUCUGCACUCUGCUGUGCAGAAACUUGACCUCCAAUUCCUUGAGAGUUUUCUUUCUCCCAUGAAAGGGGCUUCUGUUUCCCCCCCUGUCACAUUCACAGGGCAUUUCAGGAUAUGGAUGCUGGAGAAUCACGAUGGAAACAGAAACAGGAGCGUAAAUUCCAUGCCCACCAAGUGCCUCCAUUUUCCAGGGAAAGUCCUGGAAUUAGAAAGCAAUUCCAGCUUCUGAUUUGAUCCUGGAAUGUCCCUAUUUCUCUUGUUAGUGCUGCUGCCACCAGGCUGAGAGAGGAUGAUGAGCUGGCGCUAGUACCGAGCGGUAGUGGCAGUGGCCCAAUAACCACUGCUGCCUGCCUCCUCUCUUGGGCAGCUCGUAGUGGCUGCUGGAGAGCAGGCAAGGAGGAGGAAAGGCUGCUGCUGCUGCUGCUGCUGAGACCCAGCCUCGUGUGAGGGUAGCGGAGUGCAAAGAGUCUUAAUUAUUUAAAAAAUGCUUUGUGUGUCCGCAUCUAAUCUUGCUGCUUUCUAAAACGUAUUUAUUGGUGUGUGUUUUCAUUUCUGUAAAUAUACCAAAGAAUAAAAUAAAAUAAAAUAAAAUGGGGAUUAAAGUGUUUUCUCAAGAUAGCGGAGGGCAUGUGUACCUCAUUGUUGUGGUAGAGGUGGCACUUGCCCUUCUUCUGAUAAGAAAUGCUCUACAGGGUGGGGAGGGACCAAAAUACCACUGUAUUUUAAUAGUCUGUUGGAAGCUGCCCAGAGUGGCUGGGGAAACCCAGCUAGAUGGGCGGGGUAUAAAUAAUAAAUUCUAUUCUAUUCUAUUCUAUUUGUGAGUCAGUGUGGUGUAGUGGUUAAGAGCGGUAGCCUCGUAAUCUGGGGAACUGGGUUCGCGUCUCCGCUCCUCCACAUACAGCUCCUGGGUGACCUUGGGCCAGUCACUUCUCUGAAGUCUCUCAGCCCCACUCACCUCACAGAGUGUUUGUUGUGGGGGAGGAAGGGAAAGGAGAAUGUUAGCCGCUUUGAGACUCCUUAAAGGGAGUGAAAGGUGGGAUAUCAAAUCCAAACUCUUCUUCUUCUUCUUCUUCUAAAAAAUGGUGGAAGGUCAGUUUUCAAGGAAGGUCAGUUGUGGGGGGAAUGAGAAAUGUCUCUAUUUUCACCUGAAGAAUGUCGGAGGGCAUGGAAUUGCCAACCUCCACGCCUUCGCCCCGUUUUCUUAUGAAUGGCUGCAAAUUUUAAAAGUGCUACCAAACAAAAUGGCAGAACAUUGCUGAUCAGACCACCUGUGGGGGUUUUUUUGGAAAGGGGUAAAUACAACUGUACUCCCCCCCCUCUGUGGGCAUCAUGACUACAAUGCAAGAAGGGGAGGUUUAACCCAUACUAUUGUCCCAAUCUUAAUCAACCCCUUUUAACUAACCGGACUUGUUUUUUGCCCCACAGGAGGAAAUAUAUUACUAUAUGUUAUUGUUUCUGCUUUCCUCCCCGCCCCCAUUUUUUCUUUCUGUUUCUUUCUACAUUUGAAUUUGGACCGCCACCAGGAGAGGAAAUGGCAUAUCUAUGAGUCUGUAUCAGAUAUCGAAGGCUUGUUUAAUUUUGCCCUAUGUGUUUGACUUUCCAAAAUAUAAAUUCCUGUAGUGCUUGUUUGCAAUUCAUGAGAUAAUUCCUAUCGAGAUCUGGCAAUGAUGCCAGUAGCCUGAAGCUUUAGGAAGUGGUGGUAUUAUACCUUUUCUCAGUUUCUCUUUACCUUGCUACAUGUAUGCAGUGCUCUCUUACUCAGGUCCAUGAUUACAAAUGACAAGAAAAAAGACAGGAAGCAUUUUGAUAUACAAAAUCCUUUAAGAAAACCAUUGUACUUAUUCCUGCGUUACUGACAUCCUACUGCGCUGGUCAGCAAGUUAUUUCAUAUUUAGUAAGGCUUCAAUUGAAGACAACAAAACAUGUCUCCAUAACUGGGAUUUCAGGUGUUAGUUCAUGGUUUACUAGCAGUGCAUGCGAAAAGGAUCUAGGAGUCUUGAUGGACCACAAGCUUAACAUGAGACAACAGUGUGAUGCGGCAGCAAAAAACCCCCACCAGCACCUAAUGCUAUUCUAGGCUUCAUCAACAGAAAUCUAUUGUCCAGAUCAAGGGAAAUAAUAGUACCACACCUGGAAUACUGUGUCCAAUUUUGGGCACCACAAUUUAAGAAGGAUGUUGACAAGCUAGAACGUGUGCAGAGGAGGGCAACCAAGAUGAUGAAGAGUCUGGAAACCAAGCCUUACGGGGAGCACUUGAAGGAGCUGGGUAUGUUUAGCCUGGAAAAGAGGAGACUGAGAAGAGAUAUGAUAGCCAUCUUCAAAUAUCUCAUAAGCUGUCACAUGGAAAAGGGAGCAUGAUUGUUUUCUCCUGCUCUGGAGGGUAGGACUUGAACAAAUGGCUUCAAGUUGCAAGAAAGGAGAUUCUGACUAAACACCAGGAAGAGCUUUCUGACAGUAAGAGCUGUUUGACAGUGGAACAGUCUCCCUUAGGAGGUUGUGGGCUCCCUUUCCCUGGAGGUUUUUCAGCAGAGGUUGGAUGGCCAUCAGUCAUGGAUGCUUUAGCUGAGAUUCCUGCAUUGCAGGGGGUUGGACCAGAUGACCCUCUGGGUCCCUUCCAACUCUACGAUUCGAUGUCACGUGAGUUUACAGCAGGAGUGUGGAACCUGCGGCCCUCCAGAUAUUUGUGGACUCCACCACCCCAACCACUAACUGGUGCUGAUGGGAUAGGCAUUUGAGUCCAGCAUCGUCUGGAGGACUGCAGGAUUCCCACCCUAAUUUGCAGUCCGAUCCUCUGAUUCUUCCUUGAAAAUAAUAAUAAUAAUAAUAAUAAUAAUAAUAAUAAUUAUUUAUACCCCGCCCAUCUGGCUGGGUUUCUCCAGCCACUCUGGGUGGCUUCCAAUGGAAUAUUAAAAUACAAUAACCUAUUAAACAUUAAAAGCUUCCCUAAGCAGGGCUGCCUUCAGAUGUCGUCUAAAAAUCGCAGUAUGGCUUACUCUCAAGCAAGAGUGCGUAGAACUGCAACCUGGCAGCUGGGUUAUUUCCAUGUUUACUCAGGAGGAGUAAACAGAAGCAGGAGUUACUCAGAACCUGCUUCCAACAGGUAUAAUAAGCUUGAAGCCUAGUUUCUAUUUAUACCCCUAGGAACGCCACUCCACUAUGUUUACAUACUUAAGUUUCAUUUUUCUGCCUACUAUGAUACUGUGCAGUGAUAUAACUCCUCUGCACGCUGGAAAACUGUUGAGGGGCGCUACUAGAAGUUUCCUUCUGACCAUCAGUGGGCUUUCCUGGUGACAGCAGCAGGCUUGAACCCCAACACUCUGAGCAAUACCGGGUGGCUGACGCAUAACCACCAUUUAAAUUUCCCACAUUGGCCAUGAUGCAGCAUGCCUCUGGAGCAUUCUGGGAAGUUAAAAUGGUGGCUAGACAUAUUUGACUAGUGCUGAUUAAAAAAGGGUGGCUCGAGGAAGAAAUCAAUAAUGCUGGGUGGUGGAAUAUCUACCCCAGUAUGUUUUGCAAUGACAGCAGUCCUGCCUCCAAACAUUCAGGACUGGAAUUUACAGCCAUUAAGGUGGCACCACACUAAUAAACACAUUUUUUUAUACGCAGUUUUGACUAAUGUACACAUUUUUUGCAAAACAGGUUUCCCUAAUGUAUUGCAUUAUGUAUGUUGCUUUCACCAGUAUCUUCAUUUAUGUGCACAUUUAUUCCUAAUACGUGUAUUUUUGCAACAUUGGUUGGUUGGAGAAAUGUUUUGCAAAAUUCGUAGAAUUGUGAAUUUCAAAUGACAGCUGUAUUUCAGUUCAUGUAUUGUUUCAGAAAGUGUCUGUUAGAUAGAUUUGGCUUUAACUUUAUUCUGAAUUAGAUUUCCCCUCCAACCAAAAGGUACUGUAUACAAUCAGUUAAAAUGAAAAAGAUUACAGUUUUAAUAAACUAAACAGCAAUCAUAACAUUUUCACCAUUGCACAAUUAAUAUUCCAUAAGAUAACUGGGUCAUGCUUUAUGCAGGGGAUGGGUGAAUCUGUCAAUUUUGGCUUCUCUCAGUUUCUCAUUUAAGUUUAGUUCUCGACAUUUCCAGAUAAGUUUGCAAUUUUUGUUAAAUGAAAAUCCCUGUGCAAAUUCACCAGUGUUUUGGUGUGAAUGUCUUCUAAUAUUCACUUUUUUGAUGCAAUUCUCCGUAAUAUAUAUACAUUUUAUACACUAUUUACACUACUCUGUGCAUUAUUGUACAAAUUACUUUUCUGGAGAACACAAUUACAAAGCUCAGAAUUGCAAAUUUUGAAGGCUGGCUUCAUUUGGUUCAAUAUUUGUUUGGGAAAGUGCAUAUUAAGUAAAUUUGUCUUUAAAUGUGAAUGAAUCUAAUUUCUCCUCCAUUCCUAGCUUCAGGGGAAGUCUUCUUAAACAAAAAUGUCUUCAACAGCAAGGUGUUAGGAACCUGUAUUACUUCUUUGGAUACGAAUUCCAGAGGGCUGGAGCUGCAAUGCUAAAAACCUGAUUUCUAGCACACAGUACUCUCAGAAAUUAUUCAUUAAGAACACACCCUUCAUCCCUGUUGAUCUCAGGGUGGGGUACAAGAUACAGAUUCCGUAAAAUUCCAUAGAACAGUUGUAAAUCACAAAAAACCAAGGUUACAAUAGGAGAUAAUAAUAAUUUAUAGCCCACCCAUCUUACUGGGUUUUGCCAGCCACUGUGGGAGGCUUCUAACACAAACCACAGAGCAGACUGCAGUUUCACUAAAGCACUGAAAAUUCAUAGGAGGGACUGGCAAAUCACCCAUGCGCCAAGUACAUUUCCAAAAGGGAUCGGAUUCCACAGUUGUGGUACCACUACAGCAGGCCAUUUUCACAUUCCCACACAAUGCAUAUCUGACACACACAGGGCUGGAUUUAGGUUUGUUGAGGCCCUAAGCUACUGAAGGUAAUGGGGCCCUUUAUAUGUCCAGCUGUCCUUUGUCAACAACACAUUGUCACUGCUGUUUGUGUUGAAUAUACCCUAUAUGGUAAUUUAUGGACCUAAUAGGUAUCUAAAGCCAUUUGUGCAUGUUGCCAUGCAACCAGUCCAUGCAGAAUAUUUAGAUUUGAUAUCCUGCUUUAUCACUACCCGAAGGAGUCUCAAAGUGGCUAACAUUCUCCUUUCCCUCCCCCCCACAACAAAAACUCUGUGAGGUGAGUGGGGCUGAGAGACUUCAAAGAAGUGUGACCAGCCCAAGGUCGCCCAGCAGCUGUAUGUGGAGAAGCGGGGAAGUGAACCCGGUUCAUGAGAUUACGAGUCUACCGCUCUUAACCGCUACACCACACUGGCUCUCUAUAUAUACAUGUCGGCACCCUAUAUAUAGAAAUGAGCAAACCAGUGAUAUUUUAGGGAGCAGGCUAGCAGGCGGGGCCCAUUACUUACAGCAUAGGAGCCUACACAACAACAAAAACACUGUUGCUAUAUGUAGGUUUUACUUUGUGUGUUUUUCUUAUAUUCUGGAAAUGUACAUCGAGUUUUUUUCCUUUACAUUUUUUGGGGGCCCCCAAGAGAGUGGGGCCCUAAGCUAGAGCUUGUUUAGCUUAUACGUAAAUCCGGCACUGGACACACAGAAGAGGCUGCUCUGAAGAUCUUUGGAUAUAAGGCAGGCAUAGGCAAACUCAGCCCUCCAGAUGUUUCGGGACUACAACUCCCAUCAUCCCCAACCACUGGUCCUGUUAGCUAGGAAUGAUGGGAGUUGUAGUCCCAAAACAUCUGGAGGGCCGAGUUUGCCUAUGCCUGGUAUAAUGAGAGACCUUCCCUUGGGUAUUUGAGUCCCAAACCGUUUAGAGCUUAGUACUAUGGCUUCGUAACACUCUGCAUUGCCUGCAGUCAAAUCCGCAAAUCCCCAACUUAUAUCUGGGUAAUGGAAAUCAUGCUUGCAAUUGUACAGCAUGUAACCUUCACAUCUAUUAUGGAAAAUGAAUAUCCGAGCAAGACUCUGUGGUUGGAACUCUUGGAACGACUGUGCUUUGCCAAAAGCUCACAGGAAAGUGAACAAAAAGGACAUUCUUAUUAUUUUCUGGGCAAACAAAGAAGGCACUGAGUGGGGGGCGGGAACAAAUGUGACAGCAGAGUAAAAGAAGCCACAGUCCUGUGUGGACAUCAGGUCUGGCUGCAACGGCAACAUUCAUGUUAAAAUAGCACUGUGAGUUAAACCACAGCUCACUCGUUAAUUUUUUAAACAACAACAGCGCUUGGGAAUAUUUUCCAGUAGGCCCCAAACAGAUGCGACUUCAGGCAGAGGAACAAGGGAGAAUUUUGAUUCAGUUCACAUUUGAAGGCAGAUCAUCCUUUUUCUCACUUUAUAUAACAAUAUGCAAGAACUGAAAAACAGCCACCCUCUGAAAAUAGUAUCUCUCUGAAUUUUGCAGCAAAGUUCUCCAAUCAAGUAAUGUACGGAAAAUGUAUAUGCUGAGGUAAAGGGAGCAUAAAAAGGUAAAGGUAAAGGAUCCCUGACAGUUAAGUCCAGUUGCAGAUGACUCUGGGGUUGAGGCGCUCAUCUCGCUUUACAGGCUGAGGGAGCCAGCGUUUGUCCGCAGACAGUUUUUUUGGGUCAUGUGGCCAGCAUGACUAAGCCGCUUCCGGCGCAACGGAACACUGAAACCAGAGCAGCACAUGGAAAUGUUGUUUACCUUGCUGCCAAAGCGGUACCUAUUUAUCUACUUGCACUGGCGUGCUUUUGAACUGCUAGGUUGGCAGGAGCUGGGACACAGCAACGGAAGCUCACCCCGUUGCGGGGAUUCGAACAGCUGACCUUCUGAUCAGCAAGCCCAAGAGGAUCAGUGGUUUAGACCACAGCGCCACCUGCGUCCCCUGUUGCUGCAUGUAAACCCAAGUGCUCACUAUAUAGAAUAUAUGCAAAGGGUGAACAUGGCAUGUGCCUCUCCAGGCGUGACCCAUGUGCCCAGGACACAUGCAUCCAGUCCAUGAGACUUCUGAGUCUUCCUGUACGUAAAAAUUAGUCUGCACACAUGUGCACACACACUACAAUAUGAAAAGCAAAUCCAGAGUACCACAUCUUGCUCCUGCUCUCCCCUGCUCACAUUCUUAAACCAGUUAUCAUGACAGGAGCUAAAAAGGUUAACAGUUCAAGGCAGACAGAAUGAACCUGGCCCCGAGAAAGGAGUCAAUGGUUGCUGUCAUCUGUUCCCAGAAGGCUGGCUCCUGGAGUGGCUGUCAUUCCCCCGUGCUGAAACUAAAAAGCCUUAUAAGGUAAAGCCUGAACAGACCGUUAAGCACUCUGAAGUGCUCUUCGGCGUUGGAAAUCCUCCGGGGAAUGCACUGCAUACCCCUGGCAAAGAUUACAGCAUAUUUCAUGGCAAGCUCUCAUAGUAACAACACAGAUAUUGAAUCUCUGGCUUUCAAACUCUCCGAGCUGCCCUGUCAGAAAUAGAACAGAGUUUUGUCCCUGUUUACUAGACUGCUUGGCCAAGGUGGAUGGGCUAGCUCAUUCACUAAAACCCUGAUCUGAAAAAAACACACACCCUUGAGCUUGAAUAUAAUUUCCGCAGUAACCCCAUUGUUUCUUUCUUUCUUUUUUUUGUAUAUAAUUUUUAUUAGUUUUCUUUUCUAACAACUGUGGCGAUCACACAAGGUCCCCGGACGUUUAACGGUCUAUUUAUCCCUUUGCCACCACUGUGCUCACUUCCCCGCUGCCACCAACCAGUUACUCUCUGGUAAAACACUGGGUCCAGACAGUUGUUAAAAGUGAACCAAAAAACCAAGUUUAUUUUACAAACAUUAACAAGUUGGUUUCUCAGAUAAUAUUCCUGUCAGUAUCUUAACUUUAGUUUCUUUACUGGCCUAUACCUUCCUAAUACCUUCUGACUGAUUACUGUGGUACCUCGCAAGUCGAAUGUCUCGCAAGACAAAAACUCGCUAGACGAAAGGGUUUUUUGUUUUUUGAGCUGCUUCGCAAGACGAUUUUCGCUAUGGGCUUGCUUCGCAAGACGGAAACAUCUUGCAAGUUUGUUUCCUUUUUCUUAACACCGUUAAUACAGUUGCGACUUGACUUCGAGGAGCAACUCAUAGAACGCGGUGUGGUAGCCUUUUUUGAGGUUUUUAAAGACUUUGGUGAUUUUUGAAGCUUUUCCAAAACUUUCCCGACACUGUGCUUCGCAAGAUGAAAAAAAUCGCAAGACGACAAAACUCGCGGAACAAAUUAAUUUCGUCUUGCGAGGCACCACUGCAUCUCAACUGUUUGACUGACUCCUCUUAACAAAUUCUCUCACUCACUCACACCAGACUAGCCCAACCCGAAGACUUAUCUUCUCUGUCUCUUCUAACUCCAGACUGUCUUCUCAACCACCCUAACUCUAACUCUAACUCCUCCAAAAAACCUCUGUGCUUAAACACAGUUAACUCUGCCCCUUGGGUUCCCAUUGGUUUGUCAUUUUACAAUUAGUUAACCCUUUCCUUAUGAACCCAGUAUGAUGUCACACACCUAGGAGGGCAAACGCCACAACAACAAAUAUCAAAAUCAUUUCCAAACAUACAUUCUACUUUCCACCCCCCCUUCCAGUUGACUUCCUUCAUCUUCCUCUCUGGUUUGUUACAUUAAAUGAUACAAUCUGCUAUUCCUUAUCUGUCAAAAUGCUAUUACAAUGUUAUGCUUCAUGCAUUUGUAACCCUAUUGUUUCAAAGCAAUUGUUCAGGAUCUGCCUCGGAACCAUUCUGCUACUGGUUUUAAAAAGAGUCAUGCACCCUGGAACUUUUCCAGAAAGUUACUGACUUAGAAAGACUCCAGUGAAGUUGUUGCUACAAAAAACAUCCUGAGAAGUUGCACCCGUCUCAGAGAUGCCAUAUUAAACUUCCUCUCUCUAAAAUCCUAAAGAUGUUGAACAUGAACGGGACCAAUUAAAAUUUUAGUGAAAAGUCUCUGGUCCAUUUUAUCCCAUGGCUGCCACUGAAUUUUGCCGAAAGUGACACAAGGAAUAACUCAAUCUCUUUGUUAGGAAAAUAAAUUAAUUACCCAAAUCUGUAGAAAUUUCAAAAAGGUCGAGAUGAGAUGGGCCAAAGUUCAGUGGCAGAUAAUCUUAUCACAACUGCAACAUUCAUCAGGUUUCCCACAGGUGUUUUGCCUGAAUAAGACACACUAAUGAUUUCAUGAUUUAUGCAUUAGGCAACAUUUGGGUGUAUAUUUCUUAUUUUAAGAUUACAUACAAAUAACUUUUGCUUGCUACAUUUUACAAGUAAAAAUUAAGUUAGUUCCCACAUUUUCAACAUCUACUUCUGCCUCAAAACUGGAAACUACUAAUGCUAAUAACCAUUCUUCCGUAAAGCCUUCCAAAAUUACUGUUCAUUCAAAUUUGUAUGCACUUAGAGAAUUAUAAUCUGGAAACUGAUCCUUCUCUCUCUAUUUUACCAACCAUUUAAAUGAUAAAUCUAUGUUAUUGUCCUAAAUUAUGAUACGAUUUGUAGUACAAUAUGUCAUCAACACAGUUAUGGAUUUUUUAAAAAGAAAAAUUAUAAUACAAUAUCUUGUAUUGUUUCAGUUUGUUUUGUUUCUUGUUUUAAAAAUAUACUCAUGAAAAACCUUGAAAGAUAAAUAAAAAGAGCCGUAUAUAAUUUACAAGUUUGCACAGUUACCAAACUAGCAAUCAACAGUUAUAGUCCCAAAGGACAUGUUUUCCAAAGACAUCUGAUGUAAAUACCCUCCUAAUAAACAAUACAGCUAAUAUCCAGGACAAUUCGAAGAAUGGGAGUUUCCAGUUGAAGAGUGGAUUCACCCAUUAAAGAAAGUGUCGCCUGCAGGAUUUACAAGCCAUUUGUCCAUCCAGCCGGUGGCAUUUUGUGUAACACACAAAGCCACUCUAAUGUUACACAGCCAAUAAUAGUCAGGUCUGGUUCAGCUGAAGAGUUCAGCGAUUCUUCUCUUUCAAGAGCAGUGCUGGUAAAAUGGUUAGGAACAACAACAGCAACAAAUUCCUACCCCAUAACAAAUUCCAUUUAUAUCUCAGAUCAAUUAAAUACAUAUGAUGGAAAGAUACGGUAGAUUCAUCAUUGUCUCCAGAAUUAUAGGGAAAGAUUCUGUGGCGGUGUGAGGAAAUUCUGAAUAUCUGAAGAAAGUGUAUUGACAGACCAGUCAGUGCCUUAAGACUACAAUCUUAAGGACACUUAUUUUGGACUUCAGACCCUCCAAGUAUCCCUAUUUUCUGGAAACAGUCCUAGAUUUACAGAUGCCAUCCCUGUUUUUUAUUUGAUCCUGGAAUGUCCCACUUUUCCUUAGGAUGCCCCUAUUUUCAUUGGUGAAAUGUGGAGGAGGAGGAGGAGGGGGAGGAGUUUAUCACUACCCCAAGGAGUCUCAAAGCGGCUAACAAUCUCCUUUCCCUUCCUCCCCCACAAUAAACACUCUGUGAGGUGAGUGGGGCUGAGAGACUUCAGAGAAGUGUGACUAGCCCAAGGUCACCCAGAUUACGAGUCCAGAUUAUGAGUCCACCACUCUUAACAACACUGGCUGUUGGAGGGUAUGGAAUUUAUGCCCAAGUAAGCAUGCAUAGAUUACACUGCAUAAGAGCAGCCUGCCAGAUCAGAUCAGCAAUGUCACACAUGACAUUUUGCUUACUGGCAGUGUGAUGUAGAGGCACAAUAUAUGUGUAAACGUGGUAAUGAGCCCCACAUGCUUUUGAAGACCACCCCUCUCCAAAAAAUAAUAAUAAUCCCUGGGAUGUUGUGCCUGGAAUGUAUGUGCAAAGCUGCUCAGUCAUAUCUGAAACUGCUAAGCCUACCCACCAAAGGGAAAUAGACUUUUGGUAUCAAAUGAAAAGGCAGCAGGAAUGGGUGGGAAGGCAUGUUGUUUAACAACGCAAUAUUGCUCAAAUAAAUUUUUAACUAAGUCAUCUUAGUAGGUGGCUUCCCAUUUUAUAGUCAGAACAACUGGGGUUUUUUGUACUAAUAGUUUGAAACACAACUUUCUAUAGUUUCCGUUAUAAAAACCACAGCUUCUAAUGAUAUUGGAUCAGGAACUGGCUUAUAGCUACUUGCCAGUCCAUAGUAUGGGAUGUACAAUACAAUUAUAUGCGUUUUCAGUUCCUUCAAGUUUAUGAUUAUUUGAUCAUAUAUCAAUAAAUCUCCAUAUUAGGGAUUUGGCAUACUUAAUGAUGGGACUUCAAAUCCCUUGAAUUUUUUAUUAUUAUUUUAAAAUAUUAAUUCCAUGUGUCUUUGCUAGGAAUCGAAGGAACAGAAAAAAAACUUUCAAGCAAAGCCUUCAUUGACUAAUAAUAGGGUUGCCAUAUUCCCCAAAGUGAAAAUCAGCCUACUUGCCAUAUGUCUGGGUUCUCCUGGAUAUUUUGCCAAUUCAGCAAAAAUCCGCCCAGACACCGUUUUGCAGCCCAACUCCCAGAUGUAUCUGGGGAAACCCAGGUGAAGGGCAGCCCUACUAAUAAAUGUGAAAGAUUUGUAUGCUGGUGAGCUGCUCUGUUGUUCCAUUUCCUCCUUCACAGAAGGUUCAAGGUGUGUGGGAGAGCUGGUUCUGGUGGGUGGAAGGAGAAGGCUUUCUUGGAUAAGACAGAAAUAGAUGCGAUGCAGGAGAAAUCUAGUUUUCUGUUCAUUUUAAUGAGAAGCCACAUAAUCUGCAGCUAGCUCCCAAAGCAACACACAAACCAAAAUGCACACUUCUUUGAAUUUUGCAAUGCACUUCUCCAACCGCAUACUGUGUAGAAGAAUGCAUAUACUGGUUCAUAAAGAGGCAUACAUCAGUAAAGGUAACCUACAUUCUGUAGGUUAACCUUCUGUUAGGGAAACCUGUAUGCAAAGAUGUGCAUAGUAUUAAAAAAUGCAGGCAAAAAUGUGUUCAAGUGUUUGCACGAAAAUGCUGACAAAUUUUAAUGACGAUAAAGAAACCCAGACUCACCAAUUGCUGAAAAUGUGGGGAACUGAAUUCAAGAGAGUCAGAAUUGACAAAUUUGUCCAUCCAAGGUGGAUGGGUGGGAUCAAGCCGCUACAAAUGUUCAUGGAAAUGGGCAAGUUUGUUUGCUUAGAAAUGGCACUGCUGUAAAAUAAAUAAGAGAUGAUGCAGCAGAAACAGCACACAGCACAGUUGUGUGCUGGAAAUUUUGUGGAGGCAUUUAAAUGCUUCUUGCCUCUUGACUGAUCCUAAAUCUCAUCUGUAGUAGUAGAAGCAGUAUUUUUAGUGUAUAAUCCAUGUGCAUGGCAUCUUCCACCAGGGACUGCUUACCUGUGGCCGUCCAUACGCUCCUGGAAUCACAUUGACCCCACCAGCAUGACCAGUGAUGAUGGACAUUAUAGUCCAACAUUUGGAAUGCCAAAAACUCCCAAUUUUUGCCUCAUACAGCCAUCUAGGGCAUCCAAUGGAGAAAAGCGGUGUCAGAACUGCGUGCAGGAGCCAGGCCCUGUGACUGGCAGGGUCUCACAGGACUGGGGCCUUCCUGAGUUUGGUCUGGAAGGGCAAGGCGUGGCCGCACAGGUGAGGCUUGACAGAAGACUCAUGGUACCUGGUAGCAAGGGCCGGGAGGGAUAUAUAAGACCAGCAUUUCCCUCUGGCAAUUUGCCACAGCAACACGCUACCCACCUAGCUGUGCUUCAGCUUCCUGCCUCCUGGUAUCCUGACUCUUGGACCCUUGGAUUCCUGACUACUGGUUUCCUGACCCUCGGACUCUUGGCUUCCUGACUCCUGGUUUCCUGAUUCGUGGACUCUUGGCUUCCUGACCUCUGGACUGCUGACCCUGGACUGCUGAUUCCUGCUUCCUGACCUCUACCCCGGUUCUAAUGUACCAAGCCGGGACUCCGUCUGCCUGUAACCCAGACUGUGACAAGCGGGAGCAAGGGAAUAAUAUGGUCCAGGCUUUAAAUUUUAACUUUGCCUGCCACAUAAAGCAAUCCCCCCCCCCCGAGAAGUAAAUUCCAUUGAAAUACAAUGCAGUUGUUUCCAAAUAAAUAGGUGUAGAAUUAUGAGAUAAUUCGUGAGAUCUAGCAAGUUCUCAGGCAGCCCCAUGAAAUCAUGCAGUAGCCUCCCAGAACCUGUUAAUAUGAUGAUGAUGAUGAUGAUAAUGGUAAGCAAGUCAGGGAGCUUAAAAGCUCUCCCUCUUGUGUGGGGAGCAAGGUUCACUCGGUACAAAGCUCCAGGAAGGUAAGAUUGCGUACCUUCUACAUGGGAGCAGUUGGGAGGGUUUUUUGACUAUACAGUGGUACCUCGGUUUAUGAACUUAAUCCGUUCCGGAAGUCUGUUCUUAAACUGAAACCGUUCUUAAACUGAGGCAUGAUUUCCCUAAUGAGGUCUCCUGCCACCAGUGCCCUUCCACCAUUUGGAUUCCAUUCUUAGACCGAGGUAAAGUUCACAAACUGGGACCCAAGAUAAAGUUCGCAAACUUGGACACUACUUCCGGUUUUGCAGAGUUUGUAAAGCGAAUCGUUCAUAAACAGGACUGCUCUUAAACUGAGGUACCGCUGUAUGUGAUUUUGGGUUAUGGACUAUCCCCAAAUCAUAACCCCAUGUGAGUUGCGAGUUACCUGCAGUAGCAUUCUGGGGGUGGAGCCAGGUCCAAACUUGGCUACUUUGGGAGUCUGAAACAAUCAAUGCGAUCAAGAGCACUGAUGGUUCUGGGAUGGGACUUGGUACUUUCAAGAGCUGCUUUCAUAAACACAGCUGUAUUGGCUGAAGAAGCACAAUACUGGCUAGUUAUAAGUCAUAAUGAUUAGAGUUCAAAGGAAGGGGCAUGGCUAGGAAGGACAGGCACACAUUCCCGGCCUUGCUUGAUGUUUUCUUCACAUCCUUGAAGAUUCAAGCAUCUUUAACCAUUUAUCAAUGGUUUGCUAAUAAAUCAUACCAGAGCCAGAUGCUCUUUCCAGUGGGAAAGGCUUAAAAAAAGAGAGAAAAGCUUUAGAUUAAACCACUAAGUUCUUGCAUAUUUAUAAACAAAGAGUAUGUGCCCCACAAACCAUUUAGCUGACUUAAUCCCAUUGAAGUUAAUUGGAUAAAGCCAAAGUAAGCAUUUUGUGGAUCACAAACUUAGCCUCAGUUAUGGCUCCUGUGAAAUAAAAUAUCAUUUUGAUCUUUUACUGUUCAGACUGCACUUUAUGUAUUUCCCACUCGUUUCAUGUGGCUUUUCUCAUGCUAGCCGAGAGAUAUUUAUGGCACAUUACGAGGAGAUUGGGAUGACCUUUCAUUACUGAGCAAUGGGAAAGGCCUGCGGAUAAUUUAAGCACCAUAAUGUGUAGGGGACUUGAGCGCAGAUAGUGGUGUUUUGUUUUUAAGAAGCCCUAGAUGGCUUUUAAUUUCCCCCAUGCAAAACACAAUUUCAUUGAUUACUACACCAAUAUAUUUCAGAAUCAUUACCUUUCCAUUUGUGACUGGGUCCAAUAAAUGGCGGCUGGUCCAUUGGGGAAAAUGGGGCACUACCCUACCAACCUCUGUCUUCCCUUCUUACUUAACAGGGAGUCCAGGGUGUGGUACUGCCAACUUCUUCCUUCUUAGUCUUGGUGUUGUCUUUGCUGAACUCUGUAGGGAGCAGCAUGUGGUCAGAAGCAGCAGUAGUUGGCUGUGUCUGCCAUUGCAUCUAGUUCUGUCUACAUUUUGUCUCUCUGCCUUACCAGUUCCAAUGAGCACCAGCCACCACGGGGUCAAUGGAAGAAUUUAUUGAGGACAUGAAACCAAGCCUUAUGAGGAAUGUGUAAUAAACAUGCAACAGCAGAUGGCACAGGAGAGCACAAAACCUUUCUACAGCAAUUUUACAUAGGGGUUUUCUUUUGCUUUUGCUACAACGAUUUCAGACUUAUUUAUAGUGUUUUCCCCCCCUGUGUGUAGAUCCCCCCCUCCCAAGUUAGCUGGCCAUUAGGAUUUGAAACCUGCAGGACCAGAGAUUUACAGAAGAUUGGAAGAAAUAUACAAACUAUUUGAAGAGCAACUGUAAACAACAAAUUACGCUAAUAGGACUACAAGAAGUUUUGUAAGGAGAAAUAUAUGAAAUACUGCAAAGAAGAGAAAGAAGAGAGAGAUUGGUUAUGAGAUUUAAAUGUAAUAGUGAAAAUAAGAAAUGUAAAUUAAGUAAAUAGAUUGGAAAAUUUUCAGAU